GAGGGUAUAGCUCAGUGGUAGAGCGCAUGCUUAGCACGUACGAAGUCCUGGGUUCAAUCCCCAGUGCCUCCU
rnacentral:tRNA from 1 species